ensembl:snoRNA SNORD58 Small nucleolar RNA SNORD58
UUGCAAUGAUGACAUCUUAGGACACCUUUGAAAUUGACCGUGAAACCACUUAUUUUCUUGAAUCUGAGCAAC